UACGUAGGGUGCGAGCGUUGUCCGGAAUUAUUGGGCGUAAAGAGCUCGUAGGCGGUCUGUCGCGUCGAUCGUGAAAACUUGGGGCUUAACCCUGAGCUUGCGGUCGAUACGGGCAUGACUGGAGUUCGGCAGGGGAGACUGGAAUUCCUGGUGUAGCGGUGAAAUGCGCAGAUAUCAGGAAGAACACCCGUGGCUAAGGCGGUUCUCUAGUACGGUACUGACGCUGAGACGCGAAAGCGUGGGGAGCGAACAGG
rnacentral:rRNA from 1 species